rnacentral:rRNA from 1 species
UUAAGCGACUAAGCGUACACGGUGGAUGCCCUGGCAGUCAGAGGCGAUGAAGGACGUGCUAAUCUGCGAUAAGCGUCGGUAAGGUGAUAUGAACCGUUAUAACCGGCGAUUUCCGAAUGGGGAAACCCAGUGUGUUUCGACACACUAUCAUUAACUGAAUCCAUAGGUUAAUGAGGCGAACCGGGGGAACUGAAACAUCUAAGUACCCCGAGGAAAAGAAAUCAACCGAGAUUCCCCCAGUAGCGGCGAGCGAACGGGGAGCAGCCCAGAGCCUGAAUCAGUGUGUGUGUUAGUGGAAGCGUCUGGAAAGGCGCGCGAUACAGGGUGACAGCCCCGUACACAAAAAUGCACAUGUUGUGAGCUCGAUGAGUAGGGCGGGACACGUGGUAUCCUGUCUGAAUAUGGGGGGACCAUCCUCCAAGGCUAAAUACUCCUGACUGACCGAUAGUGAACCAGUACCGUGAGGGAAAGGCGAAAAGAACCCCGGCGAGGGGAGUGAAAAAGAACCUGAAACCGUGUACGUACAAGCAGUGGGAGCACAGAGCAAUCUGUGUGACUGCGUACCUUUUGUAUAAUGGGUCAGCGACUUAUAUUCUGUAGCAAGGUUAACCGAAUAGGGGAGCCGAAGGGAAACCGAGUCUUAACUGGGCGUUAAGUUGCAGGGUAUAGACCCGAAACCCGGUGAUCUAGCCAUGGGCAGGUUGAAGGUUGGGUAACACUAACUGGAGGACCGAACCGACUAAUGUUGAAAAAUUAGCGGAUGACUUGUGGCUGGGGGUGAAAGGCCAAUCAAACCGGGAGAUAGCUGGUUCUCCCCGAAAGCUAUUUAGGUAGCGCCUCGUGAAUUCAUCUCCGGGGGUAGAGCACUGUUUCGGCAAGGGGGUCAUCCCGACUUACCAACCCGAUGCAAACUGCGAAUACCGGAGAAUGUUAUCACGGGAGACACACGGCGGGUGCUAACGUCCGUCGUGAAGAGGGAAACAACCCAGACCGCCAGCUAAGGUCCCAAAGUCAUGGUUAAGUGGGAAACGAUGUGGGAAGGCCCAGACAGCCAGGAUGUUGGCUUAGAAGCAGCCAUCAUUUAAAGAAAGCGUAAUAGCUCACUGGUCGAGUCGGCCUGCGCGGAAGAUGUAACGGGGCUAAACCAUGCACCGAAGCUGCGGCAGCGACACUAUGUGUUGUUGGGUAGGGGAGCGUUCUGUAAGCCGUUGAAGGUGUGCUGUGAGGCAUGCUGGAGGUAUCAGAAGUGCGAAUGCUGACAUAAGUAACGAUAAAGCGGGUGAAAAGCCCGCUCGCCGGAAGACCAAGGGUUCCUGUCCAACGUUAAUCGGGGCAGGGUGAGUCGACCCCUAAGGCGAGGCCGAAAGGCGUAGUCGAUGGGAAACAGGUUAAUAUUCCUGUACUUGGUGUUACUGCGAAGGGGGGACGGAGAAGGCUAUGUUGGCCGGGCGACGGUUGUCCCGGUUUAAGCGUGUAGGCUGGUUUUCCAGGCAAAUCCGGAAAAUCAAGGCUGAGGCGUGAUGACGAGGCACUACGGUGCUGAAGCAACAAAUGCCCUGCUUCCAGGAAAAGCCUCUAAGCAUCAGGUAACAUCAAAUCGUACCCCAAACCGACACAGGUGGUCAGGUAGAGAAUACCAAGGCGCUUGAGAGAACUCGGGUGAAGGAACUAGGCAAAAUGGUGCCGUAACUUCGGGAGAAGGCACGCUGAUAUGUAGGUGAAGUCCCUCGCGGAUGGAGCUGAAAUCAGUCGAAGAUACCAGCUGGCUGCAACUGUUUAUUAAAAACACAGCACUGUGCAAACACGAAAGUGGACGUAUACGGUGUGACGCCUGCCCGGUGCCGGAAGGUUAAUUGAUGGGGUUAGCGCAAGCGAAGCUCUUGAUCGAAGCCCCGGUAAACGGCGGCCGUAACUAUAACGGUCCUAAGGUAGCGAAAUUCCUUGUCGGGUAAGUUCCGACCUGCACGAAUGGCGUAAUGAUGGCCAGGCUGUCUCCACCCGAGACUCAGUGAAAUUGAACUCGCUGUGAAGAUGCAGUGUACCCGCGGCAAGACGGAAAGACCCCGUGAACCUUUACUAUAGCUUGACACUGAACAUUGAGCCUUGAUGUGUAGGAUAGGUGGGAGGCUUUGAAGUGUGGACGCCAGUCUGCAUGGAGCCGACCUUGAAAUACCACCCUUUAAUGUUUGAUGUUCUAACGUGGACCCGUGAUCCGGGUUGCGGACAGUGUCUGGUGGGUAGUUUGACUGGGGCGGUCUCCUCCUAAAGAGUAACGGAGGAGCACGAAGGUUGGCUAAUCCUGGUCGGACAUCAGGAGGUUAGUGCAAUGGCAUAAGCCAGCUUGACUGCGAGCGUGACGGCGCGAGCAGGUGCGAAAGCAGGUCAUAGUGAUCCGGUGGUUCUGAAUGGAAGGGCCAUCGCUCAACGGAUAAAAGGUACUCCGGGGAUAACAGGCUGAUACCGCCCAAGAGUUCAUAUCGACGGCGGUGUUUGGCACCUCGAUGUCGGCUCAUCACAUCCUGGGGCUGAAGUAGGUCCCAAGGGUAUGGCUGUUCGCCAUUUAAAGUGGUACGCGAGCUGGGUUUAGAACGUCGUGAGACAGUUCGGUCCCUAUCUGCCGUGGGCGCUGGAGAACUGAGGGGGGCUGCUCCUAGUACGAGAGGACCGGAGUGGACGCAUCACUGGUGUUCGGGUUGUCAUGCCAAUGGCACUGCCCGGUAGCUAAAUGCGGAAGAGAUAAGUGCUGAAAGCAUCUAAGCACGAAACUUGCCCCGAGAUGAGUUCUCCCUGACCCUUUAAGGGUCCUGAAGGAACGUUGAAGACGACGACGUUGAUAGGCCGGGUGUGUAAGCGCAGCGAUGCGUUGAGCUAACCGGUACUAAUGAACCGUGAGGCUUAACCUU